UACGGGGGGGGCAAGCGUUGUUCGGAAUUACUGGGCGUAAAGGGCUCGUAGGCGGCCAACUAAGUCAGACGUGAAAUCCCUCGGCUUAACCGGGGAACUGCGUCUGAUACUGGAUGGCUUGAGUUUGGGAGAGGGAUGCGGAAUUCCAGGUGUAGCGGCGAAAUGCGUAGAUAUCUGGAGGAACACCGGUGGCGAAGGCGGCAUCCUGGACCAACACUGACGCUGAGUGAGCGAAAGCCAGGGGAGCAAACGGG
rnacentral:rRNA from 1 species